UCAUGAGUCAUGACCAAAAAAUACUCUUUCUGUUUGCUUAUAUUCCACUUAUUUUGGUCUAACGUGUGUUCCUUAAUGAAAUGAAAUUUUGGUAUUCCCUGUUAAUGAUUCUGUUCCUAACGCAUGGAGUCUCAAAGUGAUUGGUAAUAGCCUUUUCUUUACUUUCCAGAAUAUAUAUACAACUAUGAGGAAAUUAUGUGGAAUCUGGAAAAAAAAAUUACUUUUUCACUGCAAUGUAUUUCGUAGACGUAUCUAUGGUCAGUGCCUUAAGCCCUUAAGUAACCGAUCAGUCCUGGAUGAUGGAGCAAUUAAGUAUAAAAACAUAUGAGUUUUAUGUGUAUGUUUUGUCUGUCGUUAGUUCAUUUUAUUAAUUAGCUUGGCUGUUCAUUACUACUAGAGUGUGGCAAUCGUUUUAAGCAGUAUGUAAUAUGUCAAGCCUUGCGCAGCUGCAGUUUGUUAAGAUGAUCACAUUGUCAAUUGCUUUUCUACAUGAAAAUGGCAUGUCCUCAUCAAUUUCAUUCAUAAUAAUUUUUCAAAUAUCUUACAGGGAACUUCUGCCAUCCUCUCAAGGUGUAUUCGUUGAAUGAUCAGAACAAAUCCCUAACGCGUCGUCCUCCAUCUGCCGUCAUCUGGACAGGCCCCUCCCCACAUCGACCCCUUGGAAGUCACGCGCGCAGAUACCUCCCGGCGCGCUGCAAUCGUCUUUGUUGGGUAUCUGUGCGGUACAGUCGUCUUUGUUGAAUGAUCAGAUUGCCAAUGGGUGGUUCGAAACAUAAACGGCCGGCCGUUCCUGCAGAUGAAGCAUAUGGGGCUUCCAUCGCUGCUGGAGCACGCAAGAAACGCAAGGCAGUUGUAGCUUCUGGAAGAGGAGAAGAAAAUUCAAUGGCCCUUUUGCGUAGUCGACACCGCCGCACAAUUUUUACACCACUUCAUUUAGGAGGGCCAAAUCAUACUUGCCCAUAUUGUGGUGCACGCUUCUGGCUCGAGGAACGUGUACGUGGACAAGGGUGCACAGCUUCUCCAGUGUACAACAAAUGUUGUAGAGCAGGAAGUAUUGCUCUAACUCCAUACAGGGCACCACCAGAGCCUUUGCUUGGCCUUCUAACAGGAAAAGAUCCUUCAUUAUCUAAACACUUCUUUGACAACAUCAGACGGUACAACUCUAUGUUUGCCAUGACUUCUAUGGGCGUCAAUGUCAUAGACUCUAUUAAUGAUGGUCAUGGCCCUUAUGUCUUCAAGAUCAGUGGCCAGCUAUGCCAUCGGAUAGGCUCACUAAUUCCAAGACAUGGUGCAAGACCAGAAUAUUGCCAGCUAUAUAUCUUUGACACUGACAAUGAGGUCAGAAAUAGAAUAGCUGUUGCAACACACUCAAAUAUAGAUUUCCAACCGAACGAAGCUAUUGUUGCUUCCUUGAUGAGCAUGCUUGAUACACACAACCCAAUUGUGCAAGUCUUUCGAACUGCUCGUGAUAGGCUGUCUAUGCAAUCAGACAAUCUAUCCGACCAAUCCUGUGACCGUUAUGCUGUGAAGCUAUUUUCUGUCCCUAAGUAGCAUGGCAGCGUCUACAGUACCCCAAUUGCAUCAGAAGUGGUCUGCUUGGUAGUGAAUGAUUUCGGAACCAGUGAUGAAGGUCGUGACUUAAUAGUGCAAGAUCACUCAUUCCAGCUCCAAAGGGUCAAAGAAACACAUCACAAAUUUAUGGCAAUGCAAUAUCCAUUGCUGUUUCCCUAUGGAGAAGAUGGCUUUCAUGAGAAUCUAGAGUACAAAAGAUGUCGUCGCUCAGAUAAGAUCAAACGGAAAAAAGUCACCAUGGUAGAAUAUUUCUCAUACAGGCUACAUGAUAGAAACGAUGAUUUCAAUACCCCUUUACAGUGCAAGAGACUAACCCAAGCAUAUGAAGUUGAUGCCUAUUGUUGUGUUGAGGAUGAGCGGCUCCGAUACUACAGAAAGAAGUCUUUACAACAAAAAUACAGAUCUAGCCCAUAUAAAGCUUUAGUUGAAGCAAUCAGUGGUGGCAUCACUGAAGCUUCAUCUGCGGGACAAAGAAUAUACCUACCAGGUUCAUUCACUGCAAGUCCACGCUACUACUACCAAAACUAUCAAGAUUGUGUUGCAUUGUGUCGUAGGUUUGGAUGCCCAAACCUAUUUAUCACUUACACAUUUAAUGCUUUGUGGCCAGAAAUUGAAGAAGGCCUAUCAUUCAUACCAGGACAACACGCUUCCGAUCGACCUGAUAUUGUCGAUCGAUUUUUCGAAAUGAAACUUAAAUUAUUUGUGGAUGACAUAGAGAAGUACGAAUUCUUUGGACCUAUACUUGGAGUUGUCUACACAAUUGAGUUUCAAAAACGAGGUCUUCCACAUGUCCACUUGAUUCUGUGGCUCAAAAAAGAUAAACCUCUCGAUGCUGAUCAAAUAGAUGCCAUCAUAUCAGCACAUUUGCCAAAUCCAUCAAUUGAUCCUAUAGGUUUUGAGGCCGUUUCAAAGUUCAUGAUUCACGGCCCUUGCGGAUCUCUGAAUACAUCUUCUCCUUGCAUGGUUGAUGGCAAAUGCGAUAGUUUCUACCCAAAGGAUUUUAGUGAGAGCACUACGGUGCUGGCUAAUGGUCAAGUUAGGUAUGCUCGCCCAGAUAAUGGCAUUACGACUCAGAAAAAUGGAAUUCAAAUUGAUAACACAUUUGUGGUCCCGCAUAAUGUAGACCUAUUGAUUAAGUACCAAGCACAUAUAAAUGUUGAAGUUGUUAAUCGCAACGGAAUGGAGAAGUACCUUUUUAAAUACACAAACAAAGGUCCUGACUGUGCUAAAGCUACACUUCAAAGAAAGAUAGGUAAUUCAAAUUCUUCUACCGAUAUAGUCGAUGAAAUAAAAGAAUACUUGGAUUGUAGAUGUGUAACUCCAAAUGAUGCAGCAUGGUGUUUGCUCCAGUUUGAUAUACACUAUACUAAUCCAUCUGUGGAGCGCCUUCCUGUCCAUCUCCCACUAGAAAACGGUGUCAUAUUUACCGAGGAUGACUAUCUUGACCAGGUGAUUGCCAAUCCAUCAAAUCUCAUAACAAAGCUAACUGCAUGGUUUGAUACCAACAGGCAGUAUCCGCAUGCUCGAGAGCACACAUAUGUAGAAUUUCCAGAACAUUGGACAUGGCAUGGUAAUCAUAAAUAUUGGGAAAGACGCCGCAAUAGUCGCGGCAAGGUUGGUCGUGUUGCUAAUGUUGCUCCUAACCAAGGGGAAAGGUUUUACCUACGUAUGUUACUGCACAUAGUCAAAGGAGCACAAUCCUUCUCUGAUCUUCGCACCGUUGCUGGCCAUCAACACCCAACAUUUCAUGCUGCAUGUGAUGCAUUAGGCUUGCUUGCUGAUGAUCAGGAGUGGUUUCAUGCUAUGGCUGAUGCAGCGCACUGGGCACUGCCAUAUCAAUUACGGCAGUUAUUUGUCACAAUAUUACUUUUUUGUGAAGUCACAAACCCAGUCAAAUUGGUCGAUGAGUAUACACAGGCGAUGGGAGAAGAUAUAUCAUAUCACGCAAAGCAAUUGAACCCAAAAGUCCCAGCAACUUACAUGCAACAACAUAUCAAAUCUUAUGUCUUAGCUGAAUUAGAAAAAUUGCUCACAGAUGCUGGAUAUAGCCUCAGUCACUUUCACUUACCACAACCAGAUCAAAAUUCCUCUCAGAUUCUUACCAACAGAUUCAUAAUGGAAGAGCUUGCCUAUGGUUCAAGUGUUGCAUUGGCAGAACUAAAUGACCAGAUCAAUUUAUUGAAUCCAAGCCAAAGGCUCAUUUACGAUAUUAUAGAACAUUCAGCCUUGAAUGGUUGUGGGCAUACCUUCUUCGUUUAUGGAUAUGGUGGGACUGGCAAAACCUUUCUAUGGAAUACAUUGCUUAAUAGUAUUAGAGUCCGAGGAAAGAUAGCCUUAGCAGUUGCAUCUUCUGGCAUAGCAGCUUUGUUACUCCCAGGAGGUCGAACACCCCACUCACGUUUUCGAAUUCCUCUGGACAUCCAGGAACAUUCCGUGUGUGCUAUUAAGAAAAAUACACAGUUGGCUGAGCUAAUAAAAUACACAUCAUUGAUCAUAUGGGACGAAGCACCUGUUAACCAUAAACAUUGCUUCGAAGCACUUGAUCGAACACUUAGAGAUAUCAUGUCAUCCAAUAGCAAUGUUCCACAAAACAAACCAUUUGGUGGGAUAACAGUUGCACUCGGUGGUGAUUUUAGGCAAACUCUACCGGUUAUCCCAAAUGCAAGAAAACAACAAAUCCUAAAUGCAUCAAUCACUCGAUCCCCUUUAUGGCGGCAUUGCAAAGUUCUCCAAUUGACUGAAAACAUGAGACUUACGUGCCCCGCUCUUUCUAACCCUGCAAGAAUUGAAUUGGAGCAAUUUUCUCAGUGGUUGCUCUCUAUUGGCGAUGGCACAACUCCUGGUAGCACCCCUACAGACCAACCUGAUAUAUCAUGGGUUAAAAUUCCGGAAUACCUUUUAUUGCCGCCUGACCAAAGGAACCUUGCAGAUCUGAUUUCUUUUGUGUAUGAGACAACUCCACAAGCAUCAAAUUUAGCUACUUAUCUAUGUGAACGAGCAAUAUUGGCCCCAACAAAUGAAGUGGCUGCUAUCAUUAAUGCAGCGAUUACUCGACAUAUGGCCACUGAAGAAAUGUCAUAUUACAGUUCUGAUGCCAUCGACGAUGCCACGACUAACUAUUGCACUCUAGAAUCUCUAUACCCUCAGGAGUUUCUCAACACGAUUCAAAUGAGUGGCCUUCCUGAUCAUCAUUUGCAGCUCAAGGUUGGUGUCCCCAUAAUGUUACUUAGAAAUCUAGAUCCAUCAAAGGGUUUGUGCAAUGGAACCAGACUCAUAGUCACACAACUCACUCAUCGCAUAAUUGAAGCUCAAAUAAUCACUGGAAAGGCUAAAGGCUCUAAAUGUUAUAUUCCAAGAAUCGUCUCUAUUUCAACAGAUCCGAAAUGGCCUUUCAAGAUAAAGCGCCAUCAAUUCCCAGUCCGCGUGUCAUAUGCCAUGACAAUAAACAAAAGCCAAGGACAGACACUUAGCAAAGUUGGUGUCUACUUACCGAGCCCCGUAUUCUCCCAUGGGCAACUAUAUGUUGCUUUCUCACGUGUUACAUCACCUAUAGGCCUGCGUGUGCUUAUUGAAAAUAACUCUGCUGAGUAUGAAAAUCAAACACAUAAUGUAGUGUACACUGAGAUUUUCAGAGAUAUAUCAAGCCAGAGCCAUUAGUUCAGAUGGUACACCAUUUUAGUAAAUUUGUACACUGACACACGCUCAUCAACAUUUCUGUACUUUGGCUUACCAACGAGGCAUCAGUAUAAUACUCCAACAUGUUAGCUGAUCCUCAACAUUGUAUUUCUGAAAAGAGCAUUCCCCAAAGAAAAUUUAUCAGAGUAAACCUCACUUGGAUGCUUAAGUGUUGAUGGAGACAUCAAUAAUACAAUUGUUUACCUGAGGAUCAAAUACAGAAAAAUUGUUCUGGCAACCAAUAUUGCAGAGAGUAGUAUUGCUAUAGAUGAUAUUAUCUAUGUAAUUGAUUGUGGUAAGGCCAAGGAGACAAGCUACGAUGCCUUGAAUAAGUUUGCAUGCCUUCUACCGUCGUCGAUAUCAAAAGCCUCUGCUCACCAGGUUACCUUGAAAAUCCAUUAAGAUCAUGUUACUUGACAAUCCAUCAAGAUCAUGUUACCUAUUUUUUCUACAUUGAACAUAGGCGAGAUCGUGCAGGCCGCGUUCAGCCAGGUUUUUGCUAUAGGCUUUACCCCAAAGGCAUUCAUGAUGCAAUGCCACAGUUUCAGUUGCCUGAAAUUCUUAUGUCUCCUUUGCAAGAACUAUGCUUAAUAUCAAAAGCUUACAGCUUGGAGCAGUAUCUUCUUUUUUAGCCAAACCACUGUAGCCCCCAGAUCCGCUUUCUGUCAAGAAUGCGAUUGAGCUACUUAAAACCAUUCAAGCACUGGAUGGUAAGGAGGAACUCACUUCUCUAGGUAUGAAGUUUUGCUACUAACCUGCAUAUAAGAUUUCUUGCCUAUUUGGUUUUAUUCCAGCUAUCUAUGUACACUGUGCUCAUCCUACUUUGGUUUUGCGCAUGAAGACAUCUCUGUAAGCUUCCACUGGACCCAAACAUUGGAAAAAUGCUGCUUAUGGAACCUGUAUUCCAGUGCCUGUAUCCAGUAUUAAACAAUUCCUGCUGCUCUUGCAUAUCGUAAUCCGUUUGUGCUCCCAAUAGGUAAAAAAGAAGCUGAUGAUCAUUUCCUGGUGACUUCUGCAGGUAAUUGUUACAACAGUUUCAUUAAUUUGAUAUUUAUUGAGAAUUGAGCAUAUUAUUCGACUAUGUCAAAAAAAAAUAAUUGUACUGUUGUUGACAUACCUGAUGGUUGUAAAUAUAGCGACAUAUCUACAUAUUGCAAUAAUUUGCUUACCACAUACUAUUCACUCUGAUCUGUAUUUAUUAUUGCCCGCGGCAACGCGCGGGGAACUAA